GCAAGUCGAACGAGAAAGGGGACUUCGGUUCCCGAGUACAGUGGCGCCCGGGUGAGUAACGCGUAGACAACCAACCCUGGAGCCCGGAAUAACCCUUCGAAAGGAGGGCUAAUACCGGAUGACACGAGGUUCGUAUGGUCCUCGUUGAAAGGCUUGCCACUCCGGGACGGGUCUGCGUGCCAUUAGCUAGAUGGUGUGGUAACGGCGCACCAUGGCGACGAUGGCUAGCGGGUUUGAGAGGAUGAU
rnacentral:rRNA from 1 species